rnacentral:lncRNA from 1 species
AAAUGAGACACCUCCAGCAGCCCCCCAGCAGGAUGCUCCUCAGCCACCUGAAGACGAAGCCCCCAACCAGACAGUAGAGGCUCGUCUCAGAAGGAUUGAAGAUCGAAUGCAAAGGAUGGAGCACUUGUUGGACCUGCUGGUGGACCAUUUUCUGCCCCAGCACCGUGACAGAUAGCAAUUUGCCCAGUGAUUUGCCCAGUGCUUGCCCAAGUCACUGGUCAAAUCACCCCAAGGCCAGGAAGUCCCUUUCCCUUUCAUUCUUAAAUUUUUCCUUCAUAUGUUUUACAUUGAGGACAAUGUUUGGACUAGGUGUGGGGGUACUGUUAGGUUAUUUUUGCAUCGAUUCCAUCAUCUUUUUGUUUCUUUUUAUUUGUUUCUUUUUGUUUCUUUUUGCAUUGUUCUUACCCCUUUUUGCACACACCAGAAUUUUUUUCACUCCUUGCACACACACACAGAAUUUUGUCUUAGCUAAUUGCUCUACUCAACAUAGAUAACAAGGUUGAAAGAGUUUCCUUAUCUCAUGACCCCAUUGAUUUGUCACCCCUUUAAGCCUAAAUUGAAUCANNNNN